AGCUUUGCGCAGUGGUAAUAUCAUAGCCAAUGAAGGUUUACUGAGGUGUGAUUAUUGCUAUUUGAAACUUAUUGUAGCAACUUUCUAUCUAAGUUUGUAAGAUCAAUAUUUAAAAUCUGUCACUAUUU